AUAAUAAAAAUGUUUUGAUUACAUUUUAGUGAUACCACUGGAAUUAUUCCGAGGAGCAGCUCUAUCUUUAACAAGUUCUAUAGCAUCAAAAUGUGUUGGGCCUACUGAAUUAGGUGCGAUGAAUUCUGUAAAAUUACUAAUGGAAAGUUUGCUGAAAAGCGGAUUUUUACCGUUUUACAAUUUUACGUACAACCAUACGUUUGAAUCUAUGCCAGGCGCAUUUUUUUUGAUUAGUAUUGCCCUAACUGCUCCACUAGUGUUCAGCUUUGGUUACAUAUACUACAUUCGUCGAACACAACUGAAAUCUACUCUGACUCUGGGGAACAUCAAUGGAAUUACAAUACAGAAGACCGAAAUAACACCAAUCACUGAGACAACAGAUAAAACAACUUACUACAUUUAAUUUAAAUAUAAUCAUCUUGGUGUAUAAUAUAUUUAAACAUUUGUAAGAAUAUAUUGCCUAUAGCCAUAUAUUUUUUUAUUUGAAUGUUUAUUGAAGAUAAGCUAAAUGCUUAACAUUAAAUAAAGUUUAACAAUAUAACUUGUACAAAUCAUGUAAAUAAAUAUUAUAAAUACAUACAAUAUUAUUUUUCUUUUAAUGCGUAGUAAAUUAUAUGCGGUUUGGUUUUAUUUACAUUGGUUUUCUGUAUACAAUUUUAA